GAUGAACGCUGACCGAAUGCUUAACACAUGCAAGUCCACUUGAACUUCGGUUUGGGUGGCGGACGGGUGAGUAACGUGUAAAGAACUUGCCUCACAGUUAGGGACAACAUUUGGAAACGAAUGCUAAUACCUGAUAUUAUGAUUUUAGGGCAUCCUAGAAUUAUGAAAGCUAUAUGCGCUGUGAGAGAGCUUUGCGUCCCAUUAGCUAGUUGGAGAGGUAACGGCUCACCAAGGCGAUGAUGGGUAGCCGGCCUGAGAGGGUGAACGGCCACAAGGGGACUGAGACACGGCCCUUACUCCUACGGGAGGCAGCAGUGGGGAAUAUUGGACAAUGGACCAAGAGUCUGAUCCAGCAAUUCUGUGUGCACGAUGAAGUUUUUCGGAAUGUAAAGUGCUUUCAGUUGGGAAGAAAAAAAUGACGAUACCAACAGAAGAAGAGACGGCUAAAUACGUG
rnacentral:rRNA from 1 species